UAUAUUAAACAUUUAUUUUGUUCUGAAGUUUCUCUUUCAGUUUUUAUUUUUAUUUUUGCGAAAUUUGAAUGAUUUUUUUGCUGCUUCGUCGGGAGUCAUUUGGGGGAGCAAAAUAUUUUCAUUGGCUGCGAUCUGUAUAUAUGAAUGCAUGAAAAUUAUCCUGAACAGCCAACUGAAUUUUUAAAAUAUUUUUUUCCUUCUGAAUACAAAAAAAUGUUUUGGCUAAUUUUUUAAUUUAUCCCUUGAAUUUGGAGAUUUUCAAACUUGUGCUAUACCCUCAAAAUAUAAUUUAUAUAAACGAAUUUUCAAGGAACUUUUUUCCAGACUUCUUAUAAACAUAGUACAAAUGUUUAUAUAAAAAUAGAUCGUUCAGAAAUUUUUGAAAGUUCAUUUAACAUAGUUGGAAGACAUAAAUUGAACGCAACCAAUGGAAAAUAAUGAAUCACUCAAAAAAGAAUAUCAUUAGGAUAUUCAGCUGAUGUGCAACAACUAAUACAUUUUGCUUGCGCUAAAAUCAUUUCACCUCAUAUUAAUAAAAAAAUCAUUAAACCGAGGAGCCCGACAGACUCGUCAAAAAUCGAAUCAACGAGAAUAGACCAACAUGUCGGUAAAUAAACUAGUGCGAGAAAAUAAUCUCGCAACGUACGUAUGGUAUAGUUUGGAAGAAGAACAGCUGUCCAUCCUCUGAAUAUUCAAAGGAAUCGUCGACCCUCACCGUGACACGAGAUUCUAUUAUUCACCACGAUAAAGUGUUUCAUGGCAUGAUCACGCGAAUCGUGGCCAUCGGAUGCAUAGAAAGCCUCCAGAGCUGGAUAAAAUAGUGAAUAUGGAUAAUUGAUUCUUUUAGUCAUACAAAACAAUGUGAAUUAUCCAAAUAAUUUCUAACAAUUCCAUUGAAGCUUUAUUUUGAUUUAAAAAAUAGAAAAAGAAAAGUUUAAAUAAAUCGAAAAUUUUCCUAUUCGCUUUUUGUUUUUCCAGUUAAUUGAGAAACAAUUGGAUGGGAAAUUAAACUACGGAAUAGAAAAGUAGUUGAAAGAAAUGAAUAAUUUUCGCAAAAUAUUCUUCAGCUGUGGAUGUCAACCUGUUCUCUUUCUAAAAAAACUGCCAGACGUCAUUCAAGCGCUUGUUAGCAACAUAAUCAGCCUCAGAUUAUCAUGUCCCUAAAAAGUCUCAAGAAUGUGCCACUUUGCAGCGAAACUUGUGCUUUUUUUUAUUUUCAUCAAAAGCAGCGAAUAGUUUAAAGUUAAAUUGACGUUUGCUAACUCACAAAUAAACCCCAAGAACAAGUGUUAAACUCUUGGACGUAACUCCAGACAAAAUGUUAUAUUUUUUUUUAUUUCAAGGACUUAACAAUCGAUAUCCUCACGUGACUGGUAAUAUCAGCUAUGAUUAACUACGAUUAGGAUCAGUGCGGCCGGAGUUUAAUAUAAGUUUUUCGGUGGAAAGUUUGUGGAUCAAAUCGAUAGAGCUCGAAGUUGAGAUACAUUUUUACAAUCACUGUCUAUGUUUAAACCCAUGAAUCAACAAUUUUCCAUCGAUUAUACAACACUAAAGUGAAACAGUUUGCCAUUUUCACGGGCUUAAUGCCCAGUUAUUUUCAGUGCUAUAAGUCAGAGGCUUCCGCAAAACAAUGGCGCCUGAUAAUCGCAAUGUACAAACUUGAGAUUGGAUAAACGGUGAUUGUGAUGGUGGGCAGAAGAGCAUUCCGGUGUCACACGAAAACAACUAAAAUAUACGAUCAACAUUCCACAAUACCGAGGGGAUUAUUUGAGUUAGACGAUAUUACGUUGAUAUUGCAUAAUAUCCACAAACGUUUUCAAAAGUUUAAUGAUAAUCGAAUAGAAUGAGAACAGGGGACUCUUUGUAAAACACUCAAUAAACGAUUCUUUUUUCAUUGA